rnacentral:tRNA from 1 species
GGAGUUGUAGCUCAGUGGUAGAGCACUUGCCUAACAUGUAUGAGGCCCUGGGUUCAAUUCUCAGUACUACA